CCUCCAGGCCUGAACCCUCCCUUUUCCCUCCAAACAAUUCCAGGCAGAACAAAGAGAGAGUGAUGUGAGUUUAAUGUGGCUUUUGUGCCUUUAUAAUUUAUUUGGUUGAAAUGAGAUAUAUAUUGUUUGAAAGUUAACAGAUUGUUUUGUGUUAUGUUAGAUACCUGAGUUUAAUAUGUGAAGGAGAAAAGGCAAAUUCCAGAUUGUGGAUGCAUAAAGAUAAAAAAUCAUCCACCAACUGCCAUCCAACUUCACACCUUGACUUUAAUAAAUUGUUGGAACGGC